rnacentral:lncRNA from 1 species
AGAUGAAGCAUUUCCAUGCUGGCUGCAGUGUUGACGGUUCAUUGAGGAUAUUUCUCCUCUCAGUAAUUCCCCCCUCCACUAUGAUCAUCACUACCUUUAAGGCAGAGCCAAGAGGCUUAUGACUCCAGGAGACAAAAAAGAUCUGGAAAGAAAGGGAGGAAUCUUCUGGAGGAAGAUUCUGUUCUGUAGAAAAGGAAAGGAGGAGAAGAAAAAGGGGUAAAAGAUGAGGAAGAAAAAUGAGGAGAAGAAGGAAGAGGAGAAUUAGAGGAGAAUUAGAAGGACAAGGAGAAGGAGGAGGAGGAGGAAGACAAGGAGGAGGAGGAGAAAGAAGAAAUCUCUCUACCAGAAGAGCAAGGGGAUCAUUUGGAAUGAGUGUGCUCAUCUGUGACUCUGGAAGGAGACAGCCCCACGUGGCUCCCAUCUGGCAACACAGAGCAGCCGCUGCCAAGCAGGAGUGGAACUGUGUCCAACUUAAGAUGCUGACACAACAAAUUCUGAUUCUAAGUGACUUGGCCAGAUUCCUACCUACAGAUCAAGCAGGAUUUUCUGGUCACGUCAGCUUCAUUUGAAUAAGUUUGGGAAGAUAAACAAAUUUGCUCCUUGUCACAUUGCUGUAUUUUACAGUUCGGCCUCCACUCCCUCCCGCCCUGGGACACCAGCAGACACAGCUGUGUCGGAGAAGGGACACGGAUAUGGGGGAAGGGGGGGCAGGACAGCAGGAGCAGAUCAGCUGGCAUCAUGCUCCCCCUGGCCUUUCUCCCCACCGGGACCCCGGCUAGGACUCUGGGCUCCUGAAUCGGAGUCUGCCCUCUGGCCCUGACCUGGGGAGCAGGGGUCAGGACGCUCGAGAAUAGAGAGGAGAGAACCCAUCCCACUCGCAAUCCAGAACCGACCUCUGCCGGUCCCCGGGAUCGCAAAGGAGAGCCGCCAAAUGCGGCGAUGGGCGUUAGUCAUCAGAGAAAACGCACUGAGCUCUGGUGCCGUGUCAUCAGCCUUACGUUUCUUCCCUGUCACCUUCCUUUGCUCUCAGUCUCUUUUAUUCUCAUCCCUUAUUAAAUCUUCUUGGUAUUCUUUGGUAUUGCCCAUGCUUCUCCAACUGCCUCAAGUCUCCUUUGUGAAAAGCUGAGUUGUAGGGAGAUAAACGAUGGUGAGGGACGCGCCCUUGCCCCUGUGACGCCUCCUGCCCCCUCAGAGAAGCGUUUCAGAGUCAGGAAGGGCCUGGCCCUGGAAACCUCUGCCGCCUGAGGAACAGCAAUGAACCCGACUGCACGCUUCCUUGCACGAACUCAGCCGUAGGUUUUGGGGCAGCUUGUUUCCAGUGGCCCAGCCAGGAGGCACCUUCCCACAACAGGGGACCCCAGAUCCCCGGAAGCCUGUCUCUGGAUCUCUGGUCAAGCCAUUCCGGAGGGCGAACAUCUGAAAGCUGACCGUGAAUAUGGCACCUCUCUGAGUGGGAACGUGUGGAGGAAACACGUGGCUGCCUGUCCGGUCUGUUGGGCCAGAGAGCCUGCUUGGUCUCUUCUGCCUCUGCCAGCAACAAAAUGUGUAAUACUGUCAGUACAAAACCGUCUCUGGGCAGAGAAGGCCUGGGACACCCGAGGCAGAAAUCCUAUAACGGGCAGGGCUCUCGGCCAAGACACAUUUGAACAACGGUGAUAAUUGCGCGAGCACUUUUGUGUCCCCGACGUGGCAUUCUUUCUAAGCAGGGAUCCUGCUAGCUGGGCAAGAAGCCACCCCAUCGCCCCACAUUUAUAGAGGGGAAGUUCAAAGUGUGGACGCAUCCGGGACGCUAACCAAGGUCAUGGUUACGGAGGGAUGGU